UACAGGGGGUGCAAACGUUGCUCGGAAUCAUUGGGCGUAAAGCGCACGUAGGCGGUUCGUUAUGUCGGAUGUGAAAGCCCUUGGCUUAACCGAGGAAGUGCAUCCGAAACUGGCGAGCUAGAGUACUAAAGAGGAUCGCGGAAUUCCCGGUGUAGAGGUGAAAUUCGUAGAUAUUCGCAAGAACACCAGUGGCGAAGGCGGCUUACUGGUCCGGUUCUGACGCUGAGGCGCGAAAGCGUGGGGAGCAAACAGG
rnacentral:rRNA from 1 species